UACGUAGGGUGCGAGCGUUGUCCGGAAUUAUUGGGCGUAAAGAGCUUGUAGGCGGUUUGUCGCGUCUGCUGUGAAAAUCCGGGGCUCAACCCCGGACUUGCAGUGGGUACGGGCAGACUAGAGUGUGGUAGGGGAGACUGGAAUUCCUGGUGUAGCGGUGAAAUGCGCAGAUAUCGGGAGGAACACCGGUGGCGAAGGCGGUUGCCUGGGGCUUUGCUGACGCUGAUGCGCGAAAGCGUGGGGAGCGAUCCGG
rnacentral:rRNA from 1 species